CAGGUCCUGGGCAGUCCUAUUCAGGGAUUUGUUUUCAUCACAUGCACUUGUUUUUCUCUAGUAAGUGCAAACAGAAAGAAGACAGUGACUGUAUUUUCUGCUUUGAUGACAGAAUAGGGCAGCUUAACCUGGUGGAGAUUUUUGCCUGAGUG